GGAAUUGUUCGCAAUGGGCGCAAGCCUGACGACGCAAUGCCGCGUGGAGGAUGAAGACUUUCGGGUCGUAAACUCCUUUCGACCGAGAUGAAUGCCUGCCGACCCACCACGUCGGCGGGGUGACAGUAUCGGGAGAAGAAGCCCCGGCUAACGCCGUGACAGCAGCCGCGGUAAUACGGGGGGGGCGAGCGUGGUUCGGAAUUACUGGGCGUAAAGGGUUUGUAGGUGGCCUAUCAAGUCAGACGUGAAAUCCCUCGGCUCAACCGGGGAACCGCGUCUGAAACUGAUGGGCUUGAGUGCAGGAGAGGAACGCGGAAUUCCAGGUGUAGCGGUGAAAUGCGUAGAUAUCUGGAGGAACACCGGUGGCGAAGGCGGCGUUCUGGACUGUAACUGACACUGAGGAACGAAAGCCAGGGGAGCAAAC
rnacentral:rRNA from 1 species